rnacentral:rRNA from 1 species
UGGGGAAUUUUGCACAAUGGGGGAAACCCUGAUGCAGCGACGCCGCGUGAUUUAGAAGGCCUUCGGGUUGUAAAAAUCUUUUCUAUGGGAAGAAAAUGACAGUACCAUAGGAAUAAGGACCGGCUAAUUACGUGCCAGCAGCCGCGGUAAUGCGUAAGGUCCGAGCGUUGUCCGGAAUCAUUGGGCGUAAAGGGUACGUAGGCGGGUAAGCAAGUUAGAAGUGAAAUCCUGUAGCUCAACUACAGUAAGCUUUUAAAACUGCUCAUCUUGAGAUAUGGAAGGGAAAGUGGAAUUCCUAGUGUAGCGGUGAAAUGCGCAGAUAUUAGGAGGAAUACCGGUGGCGAAGGCGACUUUCUGGCCAUAAUCUGACGCUGAGGUACGAAAGCGUGGGUAGCAAACAGG